AUACGGAGGAUCCGAGCGUUAUCCGGAUUUAUUGGGUUUAAAGGGUGCGCAGGCGGGAGAUUAAGUCGGCGGUGAAAUUUUGCAGCUCAACUGUAAAAGUGCCUUCGAAACUGGUUUCCUUGAGUGUAGAUGAAGUAGGCGGAAUUUGUGGUGUAGCGGUGAAAUGCAUAGAUAUCACGAGGAACUCCGAUUGCGCAGGCAGCUUACUAAACUACUACUGACGCUCAGGCACGAAGGCGUGGGGAUCAAACAGGAUUGGAUACCCUGGUAGUCCACGCAGUAAACGAUGAUUACUAGCUGUUUGCGAUACAAUGUAAGCGGCUGAGCGAAAGCGUUAAGUAAUCCACCUGGGGAGUACGUUCGCAAGAAUGAAACUCAAAGGAAUUGACGGGG
rnacentral:rRNA from 1 species